GUAAAGAAGUAUACAAGACGAACUGGCUAGCGCAGAAUUGAGUUGAAGUGAAGCCGUUGCCGAGUACAGUGAAGUAAAGCAAUUUAUCGGAAUUUCGUUGACCGAAAAAUUCUUCAAACGUAUAAGUUUCAAAGAAAAAAUUGAUAGCUUCAUAAAAGUAUUACCAGUUGUACAUCGUAUAUUGUAUACCAAAUUCUGGAAUGCGUCUUAAGGCAAAAAUAAAAAAAUAGUUGCAAAAAAAAAAAAAUAGAAUCGCUCAUUGAAUUCAAAAUUCCUUAAACUUAAGAGUAAAAAAAAAAGUUUAAUAAUAUAUAUAGUUUACUUGGCUGUGUGAGCAUAUCAUUAUACAUAUGUAUAAGUAUUAGUGUGCAUAACGUCUAUUUGAUAAUCAGAGAAUUGAAAAAUCAGCUCACAAUCGAACGCUUCUAGGCACGAGUAGUGAAAAAGUGUAAAUAAUCUGUGUCACUGUGUUUUUUGAAAGCGACAAUCAGAGCAGCUCUUUCUCUCUCUCAUUGUAAGUAGAAGAUUGAGUGCACAACUUGCGUAGGAGCAGAAAGGGGAAUUUUUGGAAAUAACAUACAGGCAAAAACAGGUAUGUACGUUGCUACACUGUAAGCGAAUAAAAAAAUAAUGGAAGGUUUAUGGCAAAAGAGUAGAGCUGCGCUAUUCUAU